AAAUCAAUUAAAAUCUACGCUGUGCCUAAUCGUCAGUUCUUGAAGAGUUAUAUAUUUAUCUUUUAUUCGAUUUGAAGUGGCGCUGUAGAAGAUUUAUCUUUAAGAUGGCAUUCUAAUUACCCAAUACUAGAACAAAUUAUAAUAACCGGUGAUUAGGGUGUCUAUGAUCAUACCACACUCAUUUGUAUUACUUUACAUCCAUAUAGUAAUGAGUAUAGUAACCAUCUCCCAAC
rnacentral:lncRNA from 1 species